CAUUUGCGGCCGGCGCCAGGGUGGAG
rnacentral:piRNA from 1 species